AUUGAACGCUGGCGGCAUGCUUUACACAUGCAAGUCGAACGGUAACAGGCCGCAAGGUGCUGGCGAGUGGCGAACGGGUGAGUAAUGCAUCGGAACGUGCCCAGUCGUGGGGGAUAACGCAGCGAAAGCUGUGCUAAUACCGCAUACGAUCUAUGGAUGAAAGCGGGGGACCGUAAGGCCUCGCGCGAUUGGAGCGGCCGAUGUCAGAUUAGGUAGUUGGUGGGGUAAAGGCUCACCAAGCCAACGAUCUGUAGCUGGUCUGAGAGGACGACCAGCCACACUGGGACUGAGACACGGCCCAGACUCCUACGGGAGGCAGCAGUGGGGAAUUUUGGACAAUGGGCGCAAGCCUGAUCCAGCAAUGCCGCGUGCAGGAAGAAGGCCUUCGGGUUGUAAACUGCUUUUGUACGGAACGAAAAGGCUCUGGCUAAUACCUGGGGCUCAUGACGGUACCGUAAGAAUAAGCACCGGCUAACUACGUGCCAGCCGCCGCCGUAACAC
rnacentral:rRNA from 1 species